AUUCUUCUCGUCGUUGGGCCCACGCUCUCUCUCCUUGCUCCCCUCCGCCGUCCUCUCUAUCCUGCUCGCCGUGCAGCGCCCGUUGCCGCCGCUGCCGCCAUCGCCGGACUUCAUUGUCCUUCUUUGUCCCUCGUCUCCGCCGCCUGCCCCCGGCGCCGCCCGUCUGUUCGACGCUGCCCGUUGUCGUCGCCGCCGUCGCCGGUCGCCGUUGUCGCCUACGUAUUUCUCCUUCCAAGCCCUCUUUCGUCGAGCUGCGGCAUCCCGCAUCCAGAACCCAGCUCUGGACGACCCCACAUUGAUUCUUCCCUGAUCUGAGAAGGACGGCGCCGUCGGGCCGUCGGCUGGCCCAAGAUCUAUUGGUUGAUCAUUUGAGCUGAUGUUAACAAGCACUUUUUUUUUACCUUUUGGCUAGAUCCCGGACUGGGUUGUUUACCUUGUUCUGUAUUAGGAAUUUUGAUGGUGUGCAUAUGACUAUAGAGCCAUCUCAGGUUAUGCCCUCCAUUUCAUCAAGCACAAAUGUUAGUUUCAUGAUUCUCUAAAACAUAGAAAUUACACAACUGACAAAAAGAUUGAUCCUAUCCAUUCAUCCUAUCAUCUGUGUGUUUCAUGUGAACACCACAAUUUUUUUCCUUUGAAAGGAAGGCUGAAAAUAAUUUUUCUGCUUCAGCUACUUCAGUGCCAAUCAAUCUAUCAGUUGUUGGCAAACCCUAACUUCUAGUAGAAAGACGCCCCGCUGCUAUAGAUUUGGAGGGAGAAUUUGUAUAACAAUGGUAAGAAAAGUGCCACCUCAUUUUUACUUCAAACAGUAUGCACUGCUCCACGUUCAUAAAUAUCUCUGGUCUUCUACUCUGCUUGGAACUGCCCUCCCCUGCACAAUAGUUUUAUAUAUUGAAAUCAUGAGCAUAUAAGCUUGCAUUUUUGACAUGGAUUCUUUUCUUUCCGUUUUCAUAUUGGUCAAUCUUCAAAAGAAUAUGAUGCAUAAUAUUUGAGUUGCAUUACUUUUUGUUUUAUUUCAGGGUGAGUUUGAUAUACUAAAAUUGUCAACUUCUUUAUGGAAAGGAUCUUAGAGUUUCUAAUUGAGUUAAUGGAUGAUCUUUCAUCAGAGCUGAGAAAAGUAUCAUUUUGUUUUUGACAAAAGAACUUCUCCAUAAUUUAUCCAAGGCUUAAUAAUUUAUUUGUUUGACUAAGUGCUUUUAUCACAAUUCAGUUCCAUGUUAUUGUCGCAGCCUCUCAAGAUAGCCAGCAUGGCUUCAAAGGAUAAGGUAGAAAAAUGCCUACUUGUAGCCAAUAUAUGCACUGCUACCUCAUGCAUUUAUUUCAUAUCUUUUUGUGAUUCUACCUUAGAUAUUAAAUUAAAGAAAUAUUUUUUUGUCAAAAGGGUAACAAGAGCAUGUAACACUCAUCAUGUAAUAGAGUGUUUGGAUAACUACAAAACCAGCUAGUAAUUUAAUGUUUGUAAGAUGCAAGCGUCGUAAAUUGAGAUUCCUUUAACCAUUAGGAAAUAUAUGCAUGCCACUAAAUUGGCAUGCCUUCUAUCCUGCAAUUGUACUAUAUAUUUGUAAUCUAAGUAAGCAUUGAAUAGCAAUCAUUUUCAUUUUCCAAUUAUCUUGCAAUUGAGGUCACAAGAGACAUACAAGGUGAUAUUCCUUGGGUGUAUGCUGUUCGUUGAUGAUGUCAUGUUAGUUGAUGAAAGCCGUGUGGGAGUGAAUUGGAAGCUGGAGUUGUGGCGGCAAACGCUAGAGUCCAAAGGUUUUAGACUUAGCAGGACUAAAACUGAGUAUAUGAGGUGUGACUUCGGCGCCACUCAUGAGGAGGGAGAUGUUAGUUUGGAAGGCCAAGUAGUGCCCAAGAGGGAUACCUUUCGAUAUUUGGGAUCGAUGCUACAAAGAGAUGGAGAUAUUGAUGAGGAUGUUAGUCAUAGAAUCAAAGCGGGAUGUAUGAAGUGGCGCCAAGCAUCUGGCAUCCUUUGUGACAAGAAGGUACCUCAGAAGUUAAAAGGCGAGUUUUAUAGAACGGCGAUUAGACCGGCAAUGUUGUAUGGUGCGGAAUGUUGGCCUACAAAUAAGCGGCACGUCCAACAAUUAAGUGUUCCAGAAAUGCGCAUGUUGCGUUGGAUUUGUGGGCAUACAAGGAUGGAUCGAGUUCGAAAUGAUGAUAUACGGGAUAGGCUAGGGAUAGCACCAAUUGAAGAAAAGCUUAUCCAACACCGGCUAAGAUGGUUUGGACAUAUCCAACGGAGACCGCCAGAGGCACCAGUGCAUAGUGGUAUCCUAAAGCACGACGGUAAUAUAAGGAGAGGCAGGGGCCGGCCGAAGUUGACAUGGGAAGAAACAAUUAGAAGAAACUUGAAAGACUGGAGUAUACCUAGAGAUUUAUCCUUGGAUAGGAGUGCUUGGAAAGCCGCGAUUCACGUGCCAGAACCAUGAAUAAUGGUCUUUAUUGGGUUUCAACUCUAGCCUACCCCAACUUGCUUGGGAUUAAAAGGCUUUGUUGAUGUUGAUGUUGAUGUUGAAUUAUCUUGCAAUUGUCAUGUUAAUUGAGCUUUUGCACCAGAUAUGGUGUUCUUAGUCAUUUUUGUCAACUGUGCCUAGUAGUGUAUUUUGGCCUGUAGUAACAAUUAAGUUUAGGUGUACUUGUGCUAUCUAGUAUUCAAAUCUCAAUGGUACAGGUUUAUGAAAUGUACUGAAUGUUCUACAUCUAAACUUUGCGGAGAUUCAACAAUGAUUUUGGUAAGCUUGGAUUUUAUUUUAAUUACUAGCUGGAUCUACAUAUGUCAGGUUGGUCAAUUUGCUAUUUUGAAAACUGAUAAAAUAUCUUCUGAUCAUUUAACGGUGGAUAUUUACAUAUUGAUACUUUAGUUUUUUGGGACAGUUUUUCUGUGCAUUUACCAUAAAUCAAGGUUUGGAUGAGCUAGCUGCUAUCUAAGUUGUACAUACUAGUUGUAUACUGAGUUGUGUGUACUAUAGUUCACUAUAUACUGACCUUGUAUACAAAUUGCAAGUAGUGUAUGAAAUAUUCAUGUAUGUGUAUAAUUAUUGGUCAGAUUACCAUUCAGUGAUAAAGUGAGCACUUGGGAUAACAUAGUACUCUGAGUCCUACACUUCUAUUAUGGUAUCCAUGAUGUGUGGGACAUCUUAAGUAUAGGGCCUGUGAACUAGCUAGGGUUUGAAACUCCUUCAUGUACAAUAAUAAUUGUCAUAUGUUACCCGUAUUCUCUCUCCCUCUCUUCAUCUAGCUAGGCUUUGAAACUCCUUCAUGUACAGUUAGUUCCCACCAUAUUUUCCUGUUUGUUUCCAUGUAUUAUAGUGUUAUUUAUGUUGAGUUGAAGUUAUCAUUACAAUCCAAUACUUCAGUUAAUUUUCUCCCUAACAACUCAGUCUGGUAGCAGUAUUGUUCAUUCAAUCUGAUACUUAACAAAUUGUUUGUUUGUUUGGUUUUGCCAAUUUUAAUCAAUUUCUAAAUUUAUUACCAGUUCAAUAUAGUAACUGUUUUUCUUCUCUUUUCAGCUCCAAGAAGUCUUAAAAUGGCCUGCCCCAAGUUAAUAUUUAUUUAUUGUUUUCAAAAAAAGUUAAUAUUCUUGGAGUCCCUUUGUAGUAGGCAACAAUGUGAAAAAACUGCUUCUAGAUGGCUUUUGUAAUUCUAUCCUCCAUUACUAGUAUAAUAAAUUAUUUCUAGAUGGCUUCUGUAACUGAUGAACCAUUGUGGAGACCCUCUGUAUGCAUCAAUGAUCAGAAUCGAAGAUUCAAUUAGUGCAAUGUGUUGUAGUUGAAGAACUAUUAUGGAGACCGUCUAUAUACACCAAGGAUCAGAACCUAUAAGAUCCAGUUCUACUGAAGGGUGAUGAGCAGGCCAAACUUUCGAGUCUGGAAGGCAGCUGAGAGCUUGGGUGGAGCUGUUUGUGGACAAGCUGCGCGACAGACCUCCGGUCGACGACUUCUCUUGAUUAGUUUUUUGCUAGUUUCUUUCUCGGCUGCUGGGCUGCUGUUUUCCUUUUGUUCUUCACUGCAAACUAGUAUCCCCAGUUCCACUCGUUUAAUUGUUUUCUAUAAAAAGCUGGGCCAACCUUUAUAAAAAAACCUAUUGCAAAAAGGUACUUGACAAACAACUUUAUUUACUCAUUACGGCGUUAGGAUUCUUUCUUCCUCAACAAACCAAUGAAAGUUUUUUAUGUCCAAGUUAGCGCAAACCUUCUCAUUUAUGCAUCUAAAUUACUAUUUCAUCCACAUCAUCACAUAUUAAAAAUUAAAAAUUAAUAUUUGCUAGGAAGAAUUAUAUAUUAAGCACCGUCAUAUAACAAUGUAUAUAAGCUUGAGACUAAUAUUGGCUGCAACAAUAUGGCAAAGAAACAUCACCAAAAAAAGACUUAAGAUUUGGCCAUGGAAGUUGUUCAAGAUCUUGAUACAAAAAUACAUGAUAUUACACCAUAAUUCAAGUUAUCGAAUUUCCUAACAAUCAAUUACAGAACAAUAUUCAGUUUAAUGAAUGGUACAACUAAAUAUCAGGAUACAUAAGGUCCAAAGCUAGCAAAAGUCAUCAGAUACACAAUACUUUGUUCAAAAUACUAGACCAUGUGGUCAAAGGGACACCAAAAAAAGAUCUAAGUACUCAAAACAAUUGAUUAUAACUCUGUAUAAUCAUUGAACUGAAUAUUGAACAUCUUUCUCCUCGAGCUCCGACACUCCGCAUCGACACCUGCGCCGCGCUCCGCGCUCCGUGGUUCAAAUGAGCUUUAUGGUAGUAUUUGAUUCGCCUCCAGUGCUGAUUCAUUAUUCCCAUGCUCUCCUAUUUCUCUGGAUCUAACCGUAUGAUGCCUGAACUUGCAGCAAAGACUCCCUAUCCAAUCAUUCUGCAGAUUUGAGUGAGUUUCUCCUCAACCCCAUGUCUCAUAGCUCAGGCCAUCGUUGAUGGACGGCGUGUUGCAGAUGUCUUGUACCUUGCAUAGUACAUUCCAAUGCUACAAAUCACUUGAUAACAAAUAAAUUAACAAAAGAUCAUGCACUCUUGUUUAUAUAGCAAUAGUCACACAAAUACCAUUUCGAAAUUAAGCAUUCAAGUACUUGUUAAAGAAUAUUUCUCACGCAAGCACUCAUAUGACAACGAAGCAAAUAACAAUAUUAAAUUUUAUUGACUAGGCAUGAAAAGUACUCCACUACUAGAGUUCCUUUUUAAAAAUACCAUUACAGAAGUACCUAUACUUAUAUUUGAAAUCUCUCAGUAAAUGAAUGUAAGCAACAGGACAAAAGAUUGAAGUAUUCAAGUACUCAUUGGUUAUUAUAUGUGUUUAACUCUCUAUGUAGUGUAGCAGUAAAAUAGUGAACUUGUUUAUUUUGUUAAGUGCAUACACAAGAUCUCACCUGAUAUUUAUGAAUUUAUCAAUGUGGAGCAAUACAGAUUGUUUGAAGCAAAAAUACAGUGGCAUGCAAUCGUUAUGAUUCUUUUCCUAAGCAAAUGCAUUCAACGAUAUAUCUACCAAAUAUGUGUAGAUCUAAGUAUGACUUAAUGUUUAACUACUAUAUGAUGAUUUUAUACUAGACGGCUAAAAUGAUUCAGUACUCACUAGCACAAGUGCUGCUCACUUGAUAACUGAGUACCAAUGUGAGAACUAAUCAUCUUUAACUGACAAAAAUCAUACUUCUAAAACUCUCAUUCAUGUAAAUAAUUUCUCUCUCAUGGGAACCAAUGAGCUUAACAAGAUUAUUGUAGCAAGGCGAAGUCAAGGUAACAUGAUACUGAAUACUUGCUAAGUGAAACUUCUACAAUACAAUGCAGGUGAGAUUUUCAUUCAUUAGUUCAGAGUUGAUAAAUGUUCCAUGGUAGAUGGGUUAAUCAUCAAAAUAUUACUACUAGAGAUUAGAUAUCCAAAUCCAACAGCUAUUUAAAAAUGCUUUGUGUUGAAUAAUGUUAGAAGAAAUGAUACUCAAGCACAUAUUACCUUAGAAUGGCACAACAAUUGCAAUCCAACACUUAACAUAUUUUUCAAAUACCAAUAGAAGAAAAACAACACUAUUCAGAAAAGGAGCUAUAGUCUUGAAGCCAGCUCAGCUGCGCAGGACAUUGAACAUGGCAAAUGUCAAGGAAUGAUUCAAAAUGCAUGAACAAGUACUGACAUCUCUAUGCAGAUAUAUGAAACAUUUGAAUUCUCCAACUGAGUUAGUAAUAUGAAUAUGAUUAACCUAUCUUUUUCCCACCAGAAGCUGUGUACACUGACUCCAGCUUAGUUGCAACAUGCCAUCCACUGUCACAUCAUAUUGUCACAUCAUAUAGUAGAUCUGUUACUGUGUGUUAGAAAUGUAUAUUCUUCUCUACAUUAAGAAGAUUGCUUCACAAUGUACACCACAACAUUAAGUCAUGUGCAUAGUUGAAAUGGACUGUUAGUACUUCUGUAGUCCAAAAUUUGGGAAUUGACACUUUAUUAGCAUCUCAAGGAACUGAAAAACAGUAUCAGUUUUAGCAAAAUUCAAGAAACAUACAUGAGUUCAUCAAUAUAAGAGGUUGGAGCAAUUGGAACAGGUUUUUGUAGUAGAUGAACCCUAACAGAAAUAACAAUUAUGUUGAUGUAAAUCUCACAUAUUUGUUACUGGUAAGGGCAGAUCAUGUUCUACAGUCAGCUGCACUAAGAGAUGCCAGUAUAGUUGAAGUGUAUAUUUUUCUCUACGUCACCUAUAAAAAAUUUAGGGUGUAAUCUUCUCUGCAUUAGAAUAAUAAGGGCACUUUGCUCCCCACUACGGACAAUCAUAUAGAUAAUUAACUUGGACUGGGACAUCUUGAAAAUUCUUGAAGCUGGAAAGAGAAGAUAAACAGUUAGUGCACUGAGCUAAUAAAUAAAUCUGGAAAGUGGUUAAAAUUGUCAAAAAAAAA